AAUCAUUAAAUUUAAAAGAUUUGGCGGUAUUUUAUAAAUUUAGAGGAACCUGUAUAUUAAUUGAUAAUCCACGAUAAGAUUUACUUAAUUAUUUAUGUAUUGCUGUUUAAAAAUUAUUAUUAAUUAAAUUUUUAAAAAAUUAAUUUAAAAUAAUUCAAGUCAAAAUAUAGUUUAGUUAAGAUAUGGGUUACAUUUUAAUUUUGAGAUUGGAUU
rnacentral:rRNA from 1 species